CAGAAGAGGAAGGUGAAUAAGGUUCAUUCUUCCACGCCUUCCAGACUGUCAUCUCUCUUAGGGGAGAAACAGAUUCUCAUUUCUUUUUUAUUUAUUUUAGCACAUGUUAAAUAAUGCUUUUAAGAUCAUGAAUUAACUAAUGAACAGAAACUGUUAUCCUGCUGGCUUAUCUCCCACUGAGCUACAGGUUUCUGGAGGGUGUCCUGUGGAAGAAUGUAUCGAGAAUGCCCAGGAAAGCUCAGGAGACUUUGCAGAAUCAUCUGUGGUUUGCCAAAAUGUUGACAUGCAGCAUAACCUGCUACUAAUCAAAAAGAAAAUAAAACAAACCAAAGAAGAAGAAGAAAAUCUAACACUAUGAGGAGGCCGUGGCACAGAAAGGCCAGAAGUGUUUAAAGAGCAGAGCCAUAGUUCAAACCCAGGAGGCUUGUCUCAGAGCCACUUGUCUGCUACUUGAAAGCACAGAAUGAAGAAGACAAAGGGUUUGGGCUUUCGAAUUCCCUUCUACAUACACAGAUCUAGGCUUCCAUACCACAUUGUAAGUAGGAAACUCUCUGAGCACCUAGCCCCUAGCAUGGUGUCUAUUCCAGUGUA